rnacentral:rRNA from 1 species
AACGAACGCUGGCGGCAUGCCUAACACAUGCAAGUCGAACGAGACCUUCGGGUCUAGUGGCGCACGGGUGCGUAACGCGUGGGAACCUGCCCUUAGGUUCGGAAUAACUCCCCGAAAGGGGUGCUAAUACCGGAUAAUGUCUUCGGACCAAAGAUUUAUCGCCUUUGGAUGGGCCCGCGUUGGAUUAGCUAGUUGGUAGGGUAAAAGCCUACCAAGGCGACGAUCCAUAGCUGGUCUGAGAGGAUGAUCAGCCACACUGGGACUGAGACACGGCCCAGACUCCUACGGGAGGCAGCAGUAGGGAAUAUUGGACAAUGGGCGAAAGCCUGAUCCAGCAAUGCCGCUUGAGUGAUGAAGGCCUUAGGGUUGUAAAGCUCUUUUACCCGGGAUGAUAAUGACAGUACCGGGAGAAUAAGCUCCGGCUAACUCCGUG